rnacentral:rRNA from 1 species
CGGGACGGGUGAGUAAUGUCUGGGAAACUACCUGAUGGAGGGGGAUAACUGCUGGAAACGGUAGCUAAUACCGCAUAACGUCGCAAGACCAAAGAGGGGGACCUUCGGGCCUCUUGCCAUCGGAUGUGCCCAGAUGGGAUUAGCUAGUAGGUGGGGUAACGGCUCACCUAGGCGACGAUCCCUAGCUGGUCUGAGAGGAUGACCAGCCACACUGGAACUGAGACACGGUCCAG